rnacentral:rRNA from 1 species
GAGUGUUGCAUUGUUAUUUUUCGUCACUACCUCUACCUUCGGUAAAGGGGUAAUUUGCGUGCCUGCUGCCUUCCUUGGAUGUGGUAGCCGUUUCUAAGGCUCCCUCUCCGGAAUCGAACCCAGAUUCUCCGUUACCCGUUAACACCACUGUGAUCAAAUACACCACAGUCGACAGUUGAUAGGUCAUACUCUCACUGAAUUUGUUAUCUGGACAAGCCAAUAUAAUCGGAUAUUUCGUUCUGAGUCACUAUUCAACUCACAAGUGAGUUUGAUCUUUAGCUAACGAAUGCUUUCCUUCGUAAGUUGGAAAUUUGCAAUAUGUAUUAGCUCAAGAAUUACCUCAGUUAUCCAAUUAUUAUAACAUUCAAUAGAUUGUGUAUGUUGUAAUGAGCCAUUCGCGGUUUCACUUUAGCUUGUUAGUACUUGGACGUGCAUGGCUUAACCUUUGAGACGAGCAUAUGCUACUGGCAGGAUCAACC